ACCAAAAUAUCAGAAGAGAAACAUGCAAUCAGAUGGUAAACUUUAGAAUAAUGAUGGAAGUAGAAAGAAGAUUAUGGUAGAAAACCUGGGGAAAGGGUUUAUCCUGGCCGACAGCAAAAUCCAAAGACAGUAGCCAGGCUUCACCAGAUGGAACCAAUGUUGAGAGGCCGUAGCCACAAAGAUGAAAGAAAUCUGGAAGUGGAAUUUGCAUGAGCCUGAUGGAUUUGAUCCCAAUUCAUUUGGCAUCACAUGGAAGGUGAGUACAGAAGGGCCAGUACUUUUGCUUUUUAUCCUGAAAAUCGGUGGACAACUUGAAUUUUACUGCUGAAUCUAUGGGUGAUUAUGUCCUCAAAACAACUGGCUGACCUGUCUUUAGUUGCUUAAUCCACUAUCUGAAAUAUGUUCCAUCUUGUCCAAGAAUUGGUCACCGAACUAUUGUUAUUGCAAUAACCCUGUUUUAUACGCUAGUGCUUGUUUCUGUAAUAAGAAAAAGACUUUGUGUUGUA